GGUUAAGCGACUAAGCGUACACGGUGGAUGCCCUGGCAGUCAGAGGCGAUGAAGGGCGUGCUAAUCUGCGAUAAGCGCCGGUAAGGUGAUAUGAACCGUUAUAACCGGCGAUACCCGAAUGGGGAAACCCAGUGUGACUCGUCACACUAUCAUUAACUGAAUCCAUAGGUUAAUGAGGCGAACCGGGGGAACUGAAACAUCUAAGUACCCCGAGGAAAAGAAAUCAACCGAGAUUCCCCCAGUAGCGGCGAGCGAACGGGGAGGAGCCCAGAGCCUGAAUCAGCAUGUGUGUUAGUGGAAGCGUCUGGAAAGGCGCGCGAUACAGGGUGACAGCCCCGUACACAAAAGCGCAUGUGCUGUGAGCUCGAUGAGUAGGGCGGGACACGUGGUAUCCUGUCUGAAUAUGGGGGGACCAUCCUCCAAGGCUAAAUACUCCUGACUGACCGAUAGUGAACCAGUACCGUGAGGGAAAGGCGAAAAGAACCCCGGCGAGGGGAGUGAAAAAGAACCUGAAACCGUGUACGUACAAGCAGUGGGAGCACCCUUCGGGGUGUGACUGCGUACCUUUUGUAUAAUGGGUCAGCGACUUAUAUUCUGUAGCAAGGUUAACCGUAUAGGGGAGCCGGAGGGAAACCGAGUCUUAACCGGGCGUUAAGUUGCAGGGUAUAGACCCGAAACCCGGUGAUCUAGCCAUGGGCAGGUUGAAGGUUGGGUAACACUAACUGGAGGACCGAACCGACUAAUGUUGAAAAAUUAGCGGAUGACCUGUGGCUGGGGGUGAAAGGCCAAUCAAACCGGGAGAUAGCUGGUUCUCCCCGAAAGCUAUUUAGGUAGCGCCUCGUGAAUUCAUCUCCGGGGGUAGAGCACUGUUUCGGCUAGGGGGCCAUCCCGGCUUACCAACCCGAUGCAAACUGCGAAUACCGGAGAAUGUUAUCACGGGAGACACACGGCGGGUGCUAACGUCCGUCGUGAAGAGGGAAACAACCCAGACCGCCAGCUAAGGUCCCAAAGUCAUGGUUAAGUGGGAAACGAUGUGGGAAGGCCCAGACAGCCAGGAUGUUGGCUUAGAAGCAGCCAUCAUUUAAAGAAAGCGUAAUAGCUCACUGGUCGAGUCGGCCUGCGCGGAAGAUGUAACGGGGCUAAACCAUGCACCGAAGCUGCGGCAGCGACGCUUAUGCGUUGUUGGGUAGGGGAGCGUUCUGUAAGCCUGCGAAGGUGGCCUGUGAGGGUUGCUGGAGGUAUCAGAAGUGCGAAUGCUGACAUAAGUAACGAUAAAGCGGGUGAAAAGCCCGCUCGCCGGAAGACCAAGGGUUCCUGUCCAACGUUAAUCGGGGCAGGGUGAGUCGACCCCUAAGGCGAGGCCGAAAGGCGUAGUCGAUGGGAAACGGGUUAAUAUUCCCGUACUUGGUGUUACUGCGAAGGGGGGACGGAGAAGGCUAUGUUGGCCGGGCGACGGUUGUCCCGGUUUAAGCGUGUAGGCUGGUUUUCCAGGCAAAUCCGGAAAAUCAAGGCUGAGGCGUGACGACGAGGCACUACGGUGCUGAAGCAACAAAUGCCCUGCUUCCAGGAAAAGCCUCUAAGCAUCAGGUAACAUCAAAUCGUACCCCAAACCGACACAGGUGGUCAGGUAGAGAAUACCAAGGCGCUUGAGAGAACUCGGGUGAAGGAACUAGGCAAAAUGGUGCCGUAACUUCGGGAGAAGGCACGCUGACACGUAGGUGAAGUGAUUUACUCACGGAGCUGAAGUCAGUCGAAGAUACCAGCUGGCUGCAACUGUUUAUUAAAAACACAGCACUGUGCAAACACGAAAGUGGACGUAUACGGUGUGACGCCUGCCCGGUGCCGGAAGGUUAAUUGAUGGGGUCAGCGCAAGCGAAGCUCCUGAUCGAAGCCCCGGUAAACGGCGGCCGUAACUAUAACGGUCCUAAGGUAGCGAAAUUCCUUGUCGGGUAAGUUCCGACCUGCACGAAUGGCGUAAUGAUGGCCAGGCUGUCUCCACCCGAGACUCAGUGAAAUUGAACUCGCUGUGAAGAUGCAGUGUACCCGCGGCAAGACGGAAAGACCCCGUGAACCUUUACUAUAGCUUGACACUGAACAUUGAGCCUUGAUGUGUAGGAUAGGUGGGAGGCUUUGAAGCGUGGACGCCAGUCUGCGUGGAGCCGACCUUGAAAUACCACCCUUUAAUGUUUGAUGUUCUAACGUGGACCCGUAAUCCGGGUUGCGGACAGUGUCUGGUGGGUAGUUUGACUGGGGCGGUCUCCUCCUAAAGAGUAACGGAGGAGCACGAAGGUUGGCUAAUCCUGGUCGGACAUCAGGAGGUUAGUGCAAUGGCAUAAGCCAGCUUGACUGCGAGCGUGACGGCGCGAGCAGGUGCGAAAGCAGGUCAUAGUGAUCCGGUGGUUCUGAAUGGAAGGGCCAUCGCUCAACGGAUAAAAGGUACUCCGGGGAUAACAGGCUGAUACCGCCCAAGAGUUCAUAUCGACGGCGGUGUUUGGCACCUCGAUGUCGGCUCAUCACAUCCUGGGGCUGAAGUAGGUCCCAAGGGUAUGGCUGUUCGCCAUUUAAAGUGGUACGCGAGCUGGGUUUAGAACGUCGUGAGACAGUUCGGUCCCUAUCUGCCGUGGGCGCUGGAGAACUGAGGGGGGCUGCUCCUAGUACGAGAGGACCGGAGUGGACGCAUCACUGGUGUUCGGGUUGUCAUGCCAAUGGCACUGCCCGGUAGCUAAAUGCGGAAGAGAUAAGUGCUGAAAGCAUCUAAGCACGAAACUUGCCCCGAGAUGAGUUCUCCCUGAGACUUUAGGUCUCCUGAAGGAACGUUGAAGACGACGACGUUGAUAGGCCGGGUGUGUAAGCGCAGCGAUGCGUUGAGCUAACCGGUACUAAUGAACCGUGAGGCUUAACCUU
rnacentral:rRNA from 1 species